GUCGGGUUUCGUCAUCGUCAGGAUGAGGUUCUCCUCCUGUUCCCGACGGGGAUGCGGGGGCACAUAAGGACCAUCGCGAGGGUCCCUCCCCCCAUCCGAUCUAAAGGAACCGGGCCUUCGACUUUGCUUAUGUCAGGAUGAGGUUCUCCUCCUAUUCCUGACAUGAUCGUGGGGGCACAUUAGGGCAUUGCGAGGCCUCUCCCCCCCUCCGGUCUAAAAGAAUCGGGCCUUUGACUUUGCUCAUGUCAGGACGAGGUUCUCCUCCUGUUUCUGACAUGGCUGUGGGGGCACAUUAGGGCGUUGUAAGGCCUCUCCCCCCAUCCGGUCUAAAGAAUCAGGCCUUUGACUUUGCUCAUGUCAGGAUGAGGUUCUCCUCCUGUUCCUGACAUGACUGUGGGGGCACAUUAGGGCGUUGUAAGGCCUCU
rnacentral:lncRNA from 1 species